rnacentral:rRNA from 1 species
GAUGAACGCUGGCGGCGUGCCUAAUACAUGCAAGUCGAGCGAACAGACGAGGAGCUUGCUCCUCUGACGUUAGCGGCGGACGGGUGAGUAACACGUGGAUAACCUACCUAUAAGACUGGGAUAACUUCGGGAAACCGGAGCUAAUACCAGAUAAUAUAUUGAACCGCAUGGUUCAAUAGUGAAAGACGGUUUUGCUGUCACUUAUAGAUGGAUCCGCGCCGCAUUAGCUAGUUGGUAAGGUAACGGCUUUCCAAGGCAACGAUGCGUAGCCGACCUGAGAGGGUGAUCGGCCACACUGGAACUGAGACACGGUCCAGACUCCUACGGGAGGCAGCAGUAGGGAAUCUUCCGCAAUGGGCGAAAGCCUGACGGAGCAACGCCGCGUGAGUGAUGAAGGUCUUCGGAUCGUAAAACUCUGUUAUUAGGGAAGAACAAAUGUGUAAGUAACUAUGCACGUCUUGACGGUACCUAAUCAGAAAGCCACGGCUAACUACGUG